UUUCCUUUCUCUCACUCUUAUUUUAUAUUUAUGUUCUUUCAUUGAGGACAAUGUAUAUUUUAAGUGUGGGGGAAGGAACCAUUUAUUUGUUUUGUUUUCUUUGUUUUGUUUUCAGUUUUUCUCUGUUCUGAUUUUUGUUUGCUUUCUUAAAAAAAUUGCAUGAUUUUUCCUUUGGUUUUUGAGUUACAAUUAUGAGUAUUUUUCUUAGUUCUCCUGACUAAAGUCUUGUGGUGUGAUGUGAAAAUUUUGUUGUGUAUUUUUAGUAUGAUAGGUAUGACUAAACUCUAAAUUGUAUAUCAUUUGUGGUAUAUCAAUUAACCUUGUGAGAUU
rnacentral:lncRNA from 1 species